UGCAGUACUGCUUAUACAGUCAGUGUAAAACUGAGAAAGUACCCCUCCCCCUGUAGUACUGCAGCACUGUUUACCUGAUUUAUGCUGUGAGAAUAAAAUGUAUGUCACCCCAACACUAUGGUUAU